CAGCCGCCGCGGGAAAACGUAGGGCGCGAGCGUUAAUCGGAAUUACUGGGCGUAAAGCGUGCGCAGGCGGUUCGUUAAGACAGAUGUGAAAUCCCCGGGCUUAACCUGGGACUGCAUUUGUGACUGGCGAGCUAGAGUAUGGCAGAGGGGGGUAGAAUUCCACGUGUAGCAGUGAAAUGCGUAGAGAUGUGGAGGAAUACCGAUGGCGAAGGCAGCCCCCUGGGCCAAUACUGACGCUCAUGCACGAAAGCGUGGGGAGCAAACAGGAUUAGAUACCCCGGUAGUCCCUGUCUCUUAUACA
rnacentral:rRNA from 1 species